rnacentral:tRNA from 1 species
AUUUUCAAUAGCCUGAUAGGCGGGCCAGGAGCCUUCGGUGCUUUUUGAACAACGCUGUUAGGGCAUCGCGCUCCGCUCCGCCCCAGGGCUGCAAAUG